UACGUAGGGGGCUAGCGUUGUCCGGAAUCAUUGGGCGUAAAGAGCGUGUAGGCGGUCCGGUAAGUCCGCUGUGAAAGUCGGGGGCUCAACCCUCGAAUGCCGGUGGAUACUGUCGGGCUAGAGUGCGGAAGAGGCGAGUGGAAUUCCUGGUGUAGCGGUGAAAUGCGCAGAUAUCAGGAGGAACACCUAUUGCGAAGGCAGCUCUCUGGGACGGUACUGACGCUGAGACGCGAAAGCGUGGGGAGCAAACAGG
rnacentral:rRNA from 1 species